rnacentral:rRNA from 1 species
GAUGAACGCUGGCGGCGUGCCUAAUACAUGCAAGUCGAGCGAAUGGAUUAAGAGCUUGCUCUUAUGAAGUUAGCGGCGGACGGGUGAGUAACACGUGGGUAACCUGCCCAUAAGACUGGGAUAACUCCGGGAAACCGGGGCUAAUACCGGAUAACAUUUUGAACCGCAUGGUUCGAAAUUGAAAGGCGGCUUCGGCUGUCACUUAUGGAUGGACCCGCGUCGCAUUAGCUAGUUGGUGAGGUAACGGCUCACCAAGGCAACGAUGCGUAGCCGACCUGAGAGGGAGAUCGGCCACGCUGGGACUGAGACACGGCCCAGACUCCUACGGGAGGCAGCAGUAGGGAAUCUUCCGCAAUGGACGAAAGUCUGACGGAGCAACGCCGCGUGAGUGAUGAAGGCUUUCGGGUCGUAAAACUCUGUUGUUAGGGAAGAACAAGUGCUAGUUGAAUAAGCUGGCACCUUGACGGUGCCUAACCAGAAAGCCACGGCUAACUACGUGCCAGCCGCCGCAGUAA